UACGAACUGUGCGAACGUUAUUCGGAAUCACUGGGCUUACAGGGUGCGUAGGCGGCUUGUUAAGUUUGGUGUGAAAUCUCCCGGCUCAACUGGGAGGGUGCGCCGAAUACUGAAUGACUAGAGUGCGGGAGAGGUGAGUGGAAUUCCUGGUGUAGCGGUGAAAUGCGUAGAUAUCAGGAGGAACACCGGUGGUGUAGACGGCUCACUGGACCGUAACUGACGCUGAAACACGAAAGCGUGGGUAGCAAACAGG
rnacentral:rRNA from 1 species